rnacentral:rRNA from 1 species
CCCUUAGAUGUUCUGGGUCGCACGCGCGCUACACUGUUCGACGCAGCGAGUCUUAACCUUGACCGAAAGGUUUGGGUAAUCUUCAGCAAAGUCGAACGUGAUGGGGAUCGAUCAUUGCAAUUAUUGAUCGUGAACGAGGAAUUCCUAGUAAGUGCAAGUCAUCAGCUUGCGCUGAUUACGUCCCUGCCCUUUGUACACACCGCCCGUCGCUACUACCGAUUGAAUGGUUUAGUGAGAUCUCUGGAUUGACGCUGGCUAGGGGGCGACCCUUGGCCAGACUGUUGAGAAACUGCUCAAACUUGAUCAUUUAGAGGAAGUAAAAGUCGUAACA